rnacentral:lncRNA from 1 species
ACUCCCUCCUUCCCAUAUUAAUAGUCCACUUUGUCAAAAAAAAAAUUCCCAUAUUAUUUGUCCAUCUUCUUUGUCCAAUACAAAUUAUAACAAGUUUCAAUGUUAACAUUACUAGUUUACACAAUUUUCAUCAUUUACGAUGCAAAUUAUGUUGACUUUUAAUCAAAAUGAAUGAAAACUUAGUACUUCUUAAUGCAUG